rnacentral:misc_RNA from 1 species
GUAGGUGAACCUGCGGAAGGAUCAUUAGUGAAUAACGCUUAGGUCUUCGCUUCGGCAAGGCCUUUGCACCCCUCACAUCCAUAACACCUGUGAACCGUAAGAUGUGGUGAAUUCGUAUGCCCAUCUGCCCUUUUUAUAAACAUCAUUAGUAACAAAAGUAGUCUUAUUGUAAUCUAAUAAAACUUUCAACAACGGAUCUCUUGGCUCUCGCAUCGAUGAAGAACGCAGCAUCUGACUGACUCGGGCAUAA